UACGUAGGGCGCGAGCGUUGUCCGGAAUUAUUGGGCGUAAAGAGCUCGUAGGCGGUUUGUCACGUCUGCUGUGAAAUCCCGAGGCUCAACCUCGGGCCUGCAGUGGGUACGGGCAGACUGGAGUGCGGUAGGGGAGAAUGGAAUUCCUGGUGUAGCGGUGGAAUGCGCAGAUAUCAGGAGGAACACCGAUGGCGAAGGCAGUUCUCUGGGCCGUAACUGACGCUGAGGAGCGAAAGCGUGGGGAGCGAACAGG
rnacentral:rRNA from 1 species